rnacentral:rRNA from 1 species
UACGUAGGGGGCAAGCGUUGUCCGGAUUUAUUGGGCGUAAAGAGCGUGUAGGCGGCCAUACAGGUCAGCUGUGAAAACUCGAGGCUCAACCUCGAGACGUCGGUUGAAACCGUAUGGCUAGAGUCCGGAAGAGGAGAGUGGAAUUCCCGGUGUAGCGGUGAAAUGCGUAGAUAUCAGGAGGAACACCGGUGGUGUAGACGGCUUACUGGACCAUAACUGACGCUGAGACACGAAAGCGUGGGUAGCAAACAGG